GCUACACAUGCAGUCGAACGCAUGGCUUCGGCCAUGAGUGGCGAACGGGUGAGUAACACGUAGGUUACGUGCCCUUUGGUGGGGAAUAACCCAGGGAAACCUGGGCUAAUACCGCAUAUGUCCUUCGGGAUGAAAGCCUUCGGGCGCCAGAGGAUCGGCCUGCGGCCCAUUAUUUAAUCCUUGUUGGUGAGGUAACGGCUCACCAAGGGUACGAUGGGUAGCUGAUCUGAGAGGAUGAUCAGCCACACUGGGACUGAGACACGGCCCAGACUCCUACGGGAGGCAGCAGUGGGGAAUAUUGGACAAUGGGCGAAAGCCUGAUCCAGCCACGCCGCGUGAGUGAUGAAGGCCUUCGGGUUGUAAAGCUCUGUCGGGAGGGACGAAAGCUUCGGCUUGACGGUACCUCGCAAGAAAGCACCGGCUAACUCCGUGCCAGCAGCCGCGGUAAUACGGAGGGUGCAAGCGUUGCUCGGAAUUACUGGGCGUAAAGCGAGCGCAGGCGGUCUGAUAAGUCGGUUGUGAAAGCCCCGGGCUCAACCCGGGAACUGCGAUCGAAACUGCCAGACUUGAGUACGGGAGAGGGAAGUGGAAUUCCUGGUGUAGAGGUGAUAUUCGUUGAUAUCAGGAGGAACACCGGCGGCGAAGGCGACUUCCUGGCCCGAUACUGACGCUCAUGCUCGAAAGCGUGGGGAGCAAACAGGAUUAGAUACCCUGGUAGUCCACGCUGUAAACGAUGAAUGCUAGGUGUUGGAGGUAUUCACCCCUUCAGUGCCGAAGCUAACGCAUUAAGCAUUCCGCCUG
rnacentral:rRNA from 1 species